UUGGAGGGCAAGUCUGGUGCCAGCAGCCGCGGUAAUUCCAGCUCCAAUAGCGUAUAUUAAAGUUGUUGCAGUUAAAAAGCUCGUAGUUGAAUUUCGGGAUCAGGACGCCGGUCGUGCCUUCGGUAUGUACUGGUGUCACUGAUUCCUCCCUUCUGACGAACCGUUAUGCCAUUUAUUUGGUGUGGCGGGGAAUCAGGACUGUUACUUUGAAAAAAUUAGAGUGUUUAAAGCAGGCUCGCGCUUGAGUACAUUAGCAUGGAAUAAUGAAAUAGGACGUUUGAUUCUAUUUUGUUGGUUUCUAGGAUCGACGUAAUGAUUAAUAGGGAUAGUUGGGGACAUUAGUAUUCAAUUGUCAGAGGUGAAAUUCUUGGAUUUAUUGAAGACUAACCACCGCGAAUGCAUUUGCCAAGGAUGUUUUCAUUAAUCAAGAACGAAAGUUAGGGGAUCGAAGACGAUCAGAUACCGUCGUAGUCUUAACCAUAAACUAUGCCGACUAGGGAUCGGAUGAUGUUAAUUUUUUAAUGACUCAUUCGGCGCCUUACGGGAAAC
rnacentral:rRNA from 1 species